rnacentral:rRNA from 1 species
CCUACGGGUGGCAGCAGUGAGGAAUCUUGGUCAAUGGACGCAAGUCUGAUCCAGCCAUGCCGCGUGCAGGAAGACGGCUCUACGAGUUGUCAACUGCUUUUGUACGAGGGUAAACGCAGAUACGCGUAUCUGUCUGAAAGUACCGUACGAAUAAUGAUCGGCUAACUCCGUGCCAGCAGCCGCGGCAAUACGGAGGAUUCAAGCGUUAUCCGGAUUUAUUGGGUUUAAAGGUGGCGUAGGCGGUCGGAUAAGUUAGAGGUGAAAGCCCGGGGCUCAACUUGGGAAGUGCCUCUGAUACGGUUCGGCUAGAGAGUAGGUGCGGUAGGCGGAAUGUAUGGUGUAGCAGUGAAAUGCUUAGAUAUCAUACAGAACACCGAUGGCGAAGGCAGCUUACCAAGCUACUUCUGACGUUGAGGCACGAAAGCGUGGGGAGCAAACAGGAUUAGAUACCCGUGUAGUC